rnacentral:rRNA from 1 species
UUGGAGGGCAAGUCUGGUGCCAGCAGCCGCGGUAAUUCCAGCUCCAAUAGCGUAUAUUAAAGUUGUUGCAGUUAAAAAGCUCGUAGUUGAAUUUCGGGACCAAUAUGUCGGUCGUGCUUCGGUACGUACUUACAUUAUUGGUUUCUCCCUUCUGAAGAACCAUGAUGUCAUUAAUUUGGUGUCUUGGGGAAUCAGGACUGUUACUUUGAAAAAAUUAGAGUGUUUAAAGCAGGCUCACGCUUGAAUACAUUAGCAUGGAAUAAUGAAAUAGGACGUUUGAUUCUAUUUUGUUGGUUUCUAGGAUCGACGUAAUGAUUAAUAGGGAUAGUUGGGGGCAUUAGUAUUCAAUUGUCAGAGGUGAAAUUCUUGGAUUUAUUGAAGACUAACUACUGCGAAAGCAUUUGCCAAGGAUGUUUUCAUUAAUCAAGAACGAGAGUUAGGGGAUCGAAGACGAUCAGAUACCGUCGUAGUCUUAACCAUAAACUAUGCCGACUAGGGAUCGGAUGAUGUUAUUUUUGAUGACCCAUUCGGCGCCUUACGGGAAAC